GACGUAGGGGGCAAGCGUUAUUCGGAAUCAUUGGGCGUAAAGCGCUCGUAGGCGGAUCGAACAGUCGGUGAAGAAAGACCUGGGCUCAACUCAGGGAACGGCACCGAUACUAUCGGUCUUGAGGCAAUCAGAGGAUGAUGGAAUUCCCGGUGUAGCGGUGAAAUGCGUAGAUAUCGGAAGGAACGCCGGUGGCGAAAGCGACGUGCUGGACACCUUCUGACGCUGAGGCGCGAAAGCCAGGGGAGCAAACGGG
rnacentral:rRNA from 1 species